GCCAUUUUUCCUAUCAUAGAGAGAAACCUCGAGCUUUUCUUCAUUUCAAGCAAAAUCUGGAGCUUUUCUUCACAAUCUUCUCAAAACACUUAGCCAUCACAAAUCACCAUCUUUCAAAGUCUGGAUUUAGGUUCUAUUCGAUUUGAGUUCUACUCGAUUAGGGUUUGAUUUGGGGGUUUUUCAUUCUGCACAAAUCACCGCCUAAUUUUUUCGUCGAAGUUAAACUUCCCACUUUUUUCUUUCCCACACAUCGUACUAAAAUUUUGCAUUUUUGCUCGACCCACCUCUAUUUUUCAAUUGACCUCUCUCUCUCUCUCUGCGCAUAUGUUUAGGGUUUGAACCCUAAGUCGUCGUCGUCUCUCCCCAAACCCUCAACCAAGCCUCUGUUCCUAAACGCCUACGACCCCCUUCACGAUGCCAUUGAGGAGCUCCAGCGCCGCCAUCACACUGAUGUUGCGCGUGGCUCGCAGCACCACCUGCCCAGCGACCAUGCGAACGACGAGUUAUGCGCCGCGCACGCGAUUGGGAACCUCUGCUAGAACCUCCGGUAUGCUCGCUACCUGCGUCAUCCAACCCCCAUCGAUAUGAUCAAGAUCUAUGAUUUGUUUGGCUCUGUUGAUGGAGGAGAGGGUGGUUUUGAAAUGGAGGAAGAACAAGGAUGUUGUUCUGUGGUUUGGGUUGUCACUGUUUCUGCAUUUUCCUCUUGCUUCGUCACUGAACGAUGAAGAGACUUGCAGGGGAAUAAACUAACUGGUCAAAUCCCGGAUGAGAUUGGCAACUGUGCUUCUCUUAUGUAUCUGAUGGCACCAUCUAGAAUUCAUGUUACUUGUGCACUAGUUUAUGACAAAACAUCAACAGGAAGGAUUCACAAAGGAGUGUGUUCAACCUGGAUGAAGAAUUCUGUGCCUUCGACAAAAAGUGAUGAUUGUAGUUGGGCAUAAUCAUCGCAAGCUGAUACCUGAUACUGAUUCUAGUGUCAACUUUAAUGUUGUCAAAUAGACCUCAGAUUGCUGGGAAACUACCAAAUAUGUCUCGUAGAAUCAUUUAUUGAAGUUGAUUAUGCAAAUGUAGGGGAUAUUGUAGUGAAAACUGAUUGUGGUAUGUCCUUUGUUUCACUUGAGUAUUCACAGGAAGCUCAACAUGGCUGCGGAUUUGUUUGAGGGAAUGUUCAGCUCCAGAUUUUGUUUUUAGUUAGUCAUUACAGCAAAAAAAAGUCUCAUAUCAUUUCAGGAAAGAACAGAACCGGAUCAAGCAAGUAGGGAGCAUGUCAUAGCUUCCGACAUCUGGAACAUGCUAUCUCAAGGAGGUUAUAUUUAGCAUGGACAGUCGGUGCAAUAGAUGUGUUGGAGAGAAGCACUCGGGUUCAGUAGCUUGAUGGAACUGUUGUACCACUAUGAUCUUCUCCAUUGGAGGUAACUUUGAGUGAUUCUCCCUUUUGUGUGUUUUUUAUGAAAUUAUCAGCUUUGGGAAACUUUCAAGGCAGAGAAUCUCAUUUUUGAUGCAUACUUGGUGUAGGUUUUUCAGGUGAUUUCUCUUGACUCCAUAAUUUUUCUAAACAAGCAAUACAAAACUUUGAGGAGUAUAUAUGUCUUCUUUUAAGUGUGCUAUGCAAGAAUGAACAUUACUAUAGAGCAUUGUUAUGUAGUAAGACAUAAUCCUUUUGUUUUCAUUGCAUUUGUAAAUUGUGUCAGGAACUAUAUGGUGGAUUGUUGCAUAAAGAGUCAUUGGAAGAUCAAGCAUGGAGUACCCGGCAUUGCAGCAAGCUAUAUUUUCUUUCAUCAUGUAAAACUUAGCUAAAAAACUUAAAAGCUUCUUAGUCUAUGAGAUGUAUGAAUGCUUUAACAAUGUUCCUUAAAUUCAAUAUUUGAUGAAUUGAUGUAUCACAAUGCUUUUGGUACAAAUAUUGAUCAUUUGAUGGUUUGCAUUCAAUUUG